rnacentral:tRNA from 1 species
GAUGGGAUGGCCGAGCUUAAAAGGUAAUAGAUUGUAAAUCUAUGAACGAAAAUUUAUUUCUCUCAUUA